GUUCCUGCUGCCUUGGAAGCAUUCAGGAGGUCCCAGCAAGAAGUCGCACUGUAUUUUUCUCCAUUGCUCCCUGUGGAGUUCAUGUGUUCAGCCUUCUUUCUAAUGAUGGCAAUAAGCAGCUGUCAGCUAUUAUCUGAUGAUGUGAGGUGCUGAUAGGAGAAAUAAACUCAUCGCUCUUACUGGUGCCAAAUUUUCUAAAGCAGAACAUCCUCCACUCUGCUUUGAGUGCAGUCUGUUGCAACGAUUCUUCUGGAGCUACAUGCAAGAUUGCAGUGUAUCAGAAGUUAUCAACUGAUGAGCAACAUGACUUAUCAACACUAUAGUGGUUGUGCUUUGACAGUGCUUCUUCACAGAUCUGCCUGUUUGUGUUAUAGAAGUUUCGGUCUUCCAGUUGGAGAGGAGUGACACAGAUAUUUAAGACACACGCAGCUUAGAUGUAGCACAUUGUGAGUACAAAUGAUUACUUUGAAAAUGUCUAAAACUCUGUGAAAAAUUGUAGCCAGCCAAAAAGCAUGCAUGGAAUUGGGCUUGCAUGUUUACUCUGAUUUUCAAUGGUCAAUGAGAGAAAGAAGGAAAAAUUCUAGUGAAUGUUGU